rfam:Clostridium chauvoei JF4335, WGS project CBML01000000 data, contig: 00001
CGAGUAAGACAUGCAAUCGCUGCUAGACUUGAUCUAGGAGAGGAAAGUCGGAGCUCCACAGGGCAGGGUGCUGGAUAACGUCCAGUCAAGGCGACUUGAAGGAAAGUGCAACAGAGAUAUACCGCCUAAGGUUACUUAGGUAAGGGUGGAAAGGUGAGGUAAGAGCUCACCAGCAUGGUGGUGACAUCAUGGCUAUGUAAACCCCACUUGGAGCAAGACCGAGAGUGAGGCAAAUGGGGCUGCCCGUCCCGCCUCCGGGUGUGUCGCUUGAGCUUAUUGGCAACAGUAAGCCUAGAUAGAUGAUUGCUUAAUACAGAACUCCGCUUAUGGCUUGUCUCGUACU